CUGAAUUGCAAAAAGUUAGGCUAAAAUAGCCUAAUAGCUGUUUCCAUGGCUUAUUUCAGUUCACUGAAUAGUAGAAAAUAUUCCGGUGUUAAGCAAAUCUCUUUUCACUAAACAUUGUUGAAGCAAAAGCAAAUGUCAAAACUAAUGUUAAAAUGGCCAAGGAACGAAUAUAGAAGAGUUUAGUGAAAAAGCCCUAUGGUUUAUAUGCACUAUUACAUAAUUAUUUUUUUUCUC